rnacentral:rRNA from 1 species
UACGUAGGGGGCUAGCGUUGUCCGGAAUCAUUGGGCGUAAAGCGCGUGUAGGCGGCCCGGUAAGUCCGCUGUGAAAGUCGGGGGCUCAACCCUCGGAUGCCGGUGGAUACUGUCGGGCUUGAGUGCGGAAGAGGCGAGUGGAAUUCCUGGUGUAGCGGUGAAAUGCGCAGAUAUCAGGAGGAACACCGAUGGCGAAGGCAGGUCUCUGGGCCACUACUGACGCUGAGAAGCGAAAGCAUGGGGAGCGAACAGG